CACGGGGGGAGCAAGCGUUGUUCGGAAUCACUGGGCGUAAAGGGCGUGUAGGCGGUCAAGUAAGUGGAAUGUGAAAGCCCCCGGCUUACCCGGGGAUCUGCAUCCCAAACUGCUUGGCUUGAGUACGGGAGAGGAUAGGGGAAUUCCUGGUGUAGCGGUGAAAUGCGUAGAUAUCAGGAGGAACACCGGUGGCGAAGGCGCCUAUCUGGCCCGAUACUGACGCUGAGGCGCGAAAGCUAGGGGAGCGAACGGG
rnacentral:rRNA from 1 species